rnacentral:rRNA from 1 species
CUACGGGACGCUCCAGUGGGGAAUUUUGGACAAUGGGCGCAAGCCUGAUCCAGCAAUGCCGCGUGCAGGACGAAGGCCUUCGGGUUGUAAACUGCUUUUGUACAAAACGAAACGCUCUGGGUUAAUACCCUGGGGUAAUGACGGUACUGUAAGAAUAAGCACCGGCUAACUACGUGCCAGCAGCCGCGGUAAUACGUAGGGUGCGAGCGUUAAUCGGAAUUACUGGGCGUAAAGCGUGCGCAGGCGGUUGUGUAAGACAGGUGUGAAAUCCCCGGGCUUAACCUGGGAAUUGCACUUGUGACUGCACGGCUAGAGUGCGGCAGAGGGGGAUGGAAUUCCGCGUGUAGCAGUGAUAUGCGUAGAUAUGCGGAGGAACACCGAUGGCGAAGGCAAUCCCCUGGGCCUGCACUGACGCUCAUGCACGAAAGCGUGGGGAGCAAACAGGAUUAGAUACCCGCGUAGUC